GUUACAUUUAUCACAUAGAACCUACACAUUUCCAAUUUACCGAACACAUAAUAGCAUAUAUAAUAUUGCAGACCGCCUGAAUGCAAUCUGCUACACAGUCUUAAAGGGACAUUGUUCCUAAAAGUCAUAUGUCCAGGGAUGGUUUUUAAAGGGCCAGCAGCAGCACCAUACAAAUCCAAUAUGCCCAAAUAUUGUACUUGAAGGGCCAAAUAACCCAG